rnacentral:rRNA from 1 species
UAGCUGGUCUGAGAGGAUGRCCAGCCACACUGGAACUGAGACACGGUCCAGACUCCUACGGGAGGCAGCAGUGGGGAAUAUUGGACAAUGGGGGAAACCCUGAUCCAGCAAUGCCGCGUGUGUGAAGAAGGCCUGAGGGUUGUAAAGCACUUUCAGUGGGGAGGAGGGUUGAUAGGUUAAGAGCUAAUUAAUUGGACGUUACCCACAGAAGAAGCACCGGCUAACUCCGUGCCAGCAGCCGCGGUAAUACGGAGGGCGCGAGCGUUAAUCGGAAUUACUGGGCGUAAAGGGUGCGUAGGUGGUUUAUUAAGUUAUCUGUGAAAUCCCUGGGCUUAACCUGGGCAGGUCAGAUAAUACUGGUUAACUCGAGUAUGG